rnacentral:rRNA from 1 species
UGGGGAAUAUUGGACAAUGGGCGAAAGCCUGAUCCAGCCAUGCCGCGUGUGUGAAGAAGGUCUUCGGAUUGUAAAGCACUUUAAGUUGGGAGGAAGGGCAGUAAAUUAAUACUUUGCUGUUUUGACGUUACCGACAGAAUAAGCACCGGCUAACUCUGUGCCAGCAGCCGCGGUAAUACAGAGGGUGCAAGCGUUAAUCGGAAUUACUGGGCGUAAAGCGCGCGUAGGUGGUUCGUUAAGUUGGAUGUGAAAUCCCCGGGCUCAACUGGAACU